GGAUGUGAGGGUGAUCUGGAUGCAACAUCUGUCACCCCACUGAUUUCCAGGGUUGAUUUGGCUGAUCUGGCUGGCUAGGCAGGUGUCCCUUUCCUCCCUCACCACUCAGUGUAUGUCCCUCCCGAAGCAGCGCCCUUGGUAGAAGAGGACAGCCUUCCCCAAAUAGAGACGGACCUGGUCUUCGGUCGAGUAGCUGCGCUCCCCUGCUAGAACUUCCAAACAAACUCUCAAAACUGUGAUUAAGUGACAAGUCGACAUUGACCUUUCCUUGAUCAAAAAUUUAUGAAGGUUUUUU
rnacentral:snRNA from 1 species